UGGUCUGCGUUUGGAAAGAUUUUUCGGUUGGGGAGGGGCUCGCGGCCUAUCAGCUUGUUGGUGAGGUAAUGGCUCACCAAGGCGUCGACGGGUAGCCGGCCUGAGAGGGUGACCGGCCACACUGGGACUGAGACACGGCCCAGACUCUACGGGAGGCAGCAGUGGGGAAUAUUGCACAAUGGGCGGAAGCCUGAUGCAGCAACGCCGCGUGAGGGAUGACGGCCUUCGGGUUGUAAACCUCUUUAGCAGGGAAGAAGCGAAAGUGACGGUACCUGCAGAAAAAGCGCCGGCUAACUACGUGCCAGCAGCCGCGGUAAUACGUAGGGCGCAAGCGUUAUCCGGAAUUAUUGGGCGUAAAGAGCUCGUAGGCGGUUUGUCGCGUCUGCUGUGAAAUCCCGAGGCUCAACCUCGGGCCUGCAGUGGGUACGGGCAGACUAGAGUGCGGUAGGGGAGAUUGGAAUUCCUGGUGUAGCGGUGGAAUGCGCAGAUAUCAGGAGGAACACCGAUGGCGAAGGCAGAUCUCUGGGCCGUAACUGACGCUGAGGAGCGAAAGGGUGGGGAGCAAACAGGCUUAGAUACCCUGGUAGUCCACCCCGUAAACGUUGGGAACUAGUUGUGGGGUCCAUUCCACGGAUUCCGUGACGCAGCUAACGCAUUAAGUUCCCCGCCUGGGGAGUACGGCCGCAAGGCUAAAACUCAAAGGAAUUGACGGGGACCCGCACAAGCGGCGGAGCAUGCGGAUUAAUUCGAUGCAACGCGAAGAACCUUACCAAGGCUUGACAUAUACGAGAACGGGCCAGAAAUGGUCAACUCUUUGGACACUCGUAAACAGGUGGUGCAUGGUUGUCGUCAGCUCGUGUCGUGAGAUGUUGGGUUAAGUCCCGCAACGAGCGCAACCCUCGUUCUAUGUUGCCAGCACGUAAUGGUGGGAACUCAUGGGAUACUGCCGGGGUCAACUCGGAGGAAGGUGGGGAUGACGUCAAAUCAUCAUGCCCCUUAUGUCUUGGGCUUCACGCAUGCUACAAUGGCCGGUACAAAGGGCUGCAAUACCGUGAGGUGGAGCGAAUCCCAAAAAGCCGGUCCCAGUUCGGAUUGAGGUCUGCAACUCGACCUCAUGAAGUCGGAGUCGCUAGUAAUCGCAGAUCAGCAACGCUGCGGUGAAUACGUUCCCGGGUCUUGUACACACCGCCCGUCAAGUCAUGAAAGUCGGUAACACCUGAAGCCGGUGGCCUAACCCUUGUGGAGGGAGCCGUCGAAG
rnacentral:rRNA from 1 species